rnacentral:rRNA from 1 species
AGUGAACGCUGGCGGUAGGCCUAACACAUGCAAGUCGAACGGCAGCACAGUAAGAGCCUGCUCUUACGGGUGGCGAGUGGCGGACGGGUGAGGAAUACAUCGGAAUCUACUUUUUCGUGGGGGAUAACGUAGGGAAACUUACGCUAAUACCUCAUACGACCUACGGGUGAAAGCAGGGGAUCUUCGGACCUUUCGCGAUUGAAUGAGCCGAUGUCGGAUUAGCUAGUUGGCGGGGUAAAGGCCCACCAAGGCGACGAUCCGUAGCUGGUCUGAGAGGAUGAUCAGCCACACUGGAACUGAGACACGGUCCAGACUCCUACGGGAGGCAGCAGUGGGGAAUAUUGGACAAUGGGCGCAAGCCUGAUCCAGCCAUACCGCGUGGGUGAAGAAGGCCUUCGGGUUGUAAAGCCCUUUUGUUGGGAAAGAAAAGCAGCAGGUUAAUACCCCGCUGUUCUGACGGUACCCAAAGAAUAAGCACCGGCUAACUUCGUG